rnacentral:rRNA from 1 species
UACAGAGGUUCCAAGCGUUGUUCGGAUUCAUUGGGCGUAAAGGGCGCGUAGGUGGCGCCGUAAGUCAGGUGUGAAAUCUCGGGGCUUAACUCCGAAACUGCAUUUGAUACUGCGGUGCUUGAGGACUGGAGAGGAGACUGGAAUUUACGGUGUAGCGGUGAAAUGCGUAGAUAUCGUAAGGAAGACCAGUGGCGAAGGCGGGUCUCUGGACAGUUCCUGACACUGAGGCACGAAGGCCAGGGGAGCAAACGGG